rnacentral:rRNA from 1 species
GCAUAACGCGAAGAACCUUACCAGGGCUUGACAUCCCUCUGACCCCUCUAGAGAUAGAGGUUCUCUUCGGAGCAGAGGUGACAGGUGGUGCAUGGUUGUCGUCAGCUCGUGUCGUGAGAUGUUGGGUUAAGUCCCGCAACGAGCGCAACCCUUGUCUUUAGUUGCCAGCGAGUCAUGUCGGGCACUCUAAGGAGACUGCCUCGGAUAACGAGGAGGAAGGUGGGGAUGACGUCAAGUCAGCAUGGCCUUUAUGUCCAGGGCUACACACGUGCUACAAUGGGCGGCACAGAAGGACGCGAGACCGCGAGGUCAAGCCAACCCUUAAAACCGUUCUCAGUUCGGAUUGCAGGCUGCAAUUCGCCUGCAUGAAGUCGGAAUCGCUAGUAAUCGCGUAUCAGCCACGACGCGGUGAACACGUUCCCGGGUCUUGUACACACCG